AAGAACAUAUUGCCAAUGCCUAAUUUAAGUUUGCAAAAUAAUUUAAAAGUAAUUACUCAAAAAAAACCUAAAAUGUAUUAAUAUGUAUCUUGCAAAAUCGACCUAAAUUCAUGUUUAAUCAGACAAAUUAACUUCUAGUGGAGAAAAACAGUUGCUUCAAAACACCUCAAAUUUUACAGAAAAUUAAUCAAAAUCGAGGCCAUAAUUGAAAGAAUAGCAGAUGAACCCUGAAUCACCAUGAAAACCACAAAGCAUUAAAAAAAAUCAUAUCAAGAAAAAUAAAAUGAUAUAUCAUGAUACUAGUGGAUAUGCGAAAUGAAACAAUCAGGAUCAAAAUACAUAUCUCAAUUGGAUUUGAAUCAAGCUAAUUUGAUCAGAAAUCAAGGUUUUCGGAAUUGUUUGAAGAACACAAUCUCUUGAAAAAUCGACCUACAAUCCUUGCUUAAUCACACAAAUAAGCUCCAUGACCUUCUAAAGAACACCAUUGUCAUAAAAAACUCUCUAAUAUCAUUCACAAUAGGUCCAAAUGUCGUUUGAAACCCACAGUUUCGACGAAAAAUGGAAGCCUUAAACUGUUUUUUGAAAGAACCGAUGCCAAAAAUUCAAUUUCGUGAUUUCAAUGAUGUGAUAAUUUCUUCUGAAAUGAAACAUUUAUGGAUGCUCAAUAAUUAAAUGAAAAAGCUUUCAAUCGAUCAAUUCACUCACUAAUUCACUCAAAAU
rnacentral:lncRNA from 1 species